rnacentral:snRNA from 2 species
GUGCUCGCUUCAGCAGCACAUCCACUAAAAUUGGAACAAUACAGAGAAGAUUAGCAUGGCCCCCGUGCAAUGAUGACACGCAAAUUCGUGAUGCAUUCCAUAUUUUU